rnacentral:rRNA from 1 species
GACGAACGCUGGCGGCGUGCUUAACACAUGCAAGUCGAACGAAGUGGCGAACGGGUGAGUAACGCGUAAUCAACCUGCCCUUCAGAGGGGGACAACAGUUGGAAACGACUGCUAAUACCGCAUACUGAAGGUGGGGUUUGCGUCUGAUUAGCUAGUUGGAGGGGUAACGGCCCACCAAGGCGAUGAUCAGUAGCGGGUCUGGUGGGAAGAACGGCCACGUUGGGACUGAGGCACGGCCCAGACUCCUACGGGAGGCAGCAGUGAGGAAUCUUCCGCAAUGGAAGAAAGUCUGACGGAGCAACGCCGCGGGAGUGAUGACGGCCUUCGGGGUGUAAAGCUCUGUUAAUCGGGACGCGGUACCGGAAUAGAAAGCCACGGCUAACUACGUGCCAGCAGCCGCGGUAAUUU